AACGAACGCUGGCGGCAGGCUUAAUACGUGCAAGUCGAGCGGGCACUUCGGUGUCAGCGGCGCACGGGUGCGUAACGCGUGGGAACAUGCCCUUAGGUACGGAACAACACAGGGAAACUUGUGCUAAUACCGUAUAAUAUCUCCGGAUCAAAGAUUUAUCGCCUAAGGAUUGGCCCGCGUUAGAUUAGGUAGUUGGUGGGGUAAUGGCCUACCAAGCCGACGAUCUAUAGCUGGUCUGAGAGGAUGAUCAGCCACACUGGAACUGAGACACGGUCCAGACUCCUACGGGAGGCAGCAGUAAGGAAUAUUGGACAAUGGGCGAAAGCCUGAUCCAGCCAUGCCGCGUGAGUGAUGAAGGCCUUAGGGUUGUAAAGCUCUUUUAGAUGGGAAGAUAAUGACUGUACCAUCAGAAUAAGCCCCGGCUAAAUUCGUGCCAGCAGCCGCCGUAA
rnacentral:rRNA from 1 species